CUCUGGCCUCCUUCAAUGCUGAAUGCCUUGGGCACGGGAGGAGCAUGGACACACACUUGUGGUUCUGCGAUCUGGCUGCGUAAGUGCUCUGACAAGACCGGAAAUCCGUCCUGAGGAAUUUUAUACAAGAGAAGACUCCUCUUCUGCCUCCUGGUUUCCAAGGUUGUACUUUGAAGCUUAACACCUGGCUGGCUUAGCUCCCUCUGCAAUGCAAAGACUCAGUCACCUGACCUGGAGCCCCUACCUCACUUGUUAGCUCCUGCACUUGACAAAUCUUGGUUCAAUUGUGAUGGCUGGAAACGUGGACUACUCCCUUUCUGAGAGAGAAUGUGUGGCUAGCCCUGAUGCUUGACCGUUCCUGAAGCUGGUCACGAGGGACUGAAGGACUUGUGUGGUGGAAGCAUGCUAGGGGGUCUCCGUGGCCAACAAUGAACUCCUUAAACUGCCGGUUACAGUAAGGUCGGUGCUGGCUUCUCCUACAAAGUGAUCCAGUCCUCUGGCUUUGGUAAUGAUGUCAUCUGACCCCACAGAGCUGGAGAACAGACUUUCUUCUAGCUGCUGGGGAUUAAA